AAAAGACUUAGUCCUAACCUUACUAUUAAUUUUCACCAGACCUAUACAUGCAAGUAUCCGCGCUCCAGUGUAAAUGCCCCUAGCCCCCUACUAGGACAAGAGGAGCAGGUAUCAGGCACACCCACCGUAGCCCAAGACACCUUGCUUAGCCACACCCCCACGGGUAUUCAGCAGUAACUGACAUUAAGCUAUGAGCGUAAGCUCGACUUAGUCAUGGUGACGCCAGGGUUGGUAAAUCUUGUGCCAGCCACCGCGGUCAUACAAGAAACCCAAAUUAAUCGUACACGGCGUAAAGAGUGAUUCAAGACUAUCGCCCCACCCUGAGGCCAAAACAUGCCCAAGCCGUCAUAAGCCCAAGACAUGCCUAAACCCACAUUCCCCUCAACCCCAGCGAUCAAUCAACCUCACGAAAGCCAGGGGACAAACUGGGAUUAGAUACCCCACUAUGCCUGGCCGUAAAUUCAAAUGCUUUUCUCACCUAAGCAUUCGCCAGGGAACUACGAGCACAAACGCUUAAAACCCUAAGGACUUGGCGGUGUCCCAAACCCACCUAGAGGAGCCUGUUCUAUAAUCGAUAACCCACGCUACACCCAACCCCCCCUCGCCCCAAGCAGCCUACAUACCGCCGUCGCCAGCUCACCUCACCUGAGAGAUUAACAGUGAGCACAAUAGCUCCACCCGCUAAAAAGACAGGUCAAGGUAUAGCCCAUGGGAGGGAAAGAAAUGGGCUACAUUUUCUGAACCAGAAAAUCAACGAAAGAAGGCCUGAAACAGCCCUCAGAAGGCGGAUUUAGCAGUAAAACAUGAUCAUCGCGCCUGUCUUAAGUCGGCCCUGGGACACGUACAUACCGCCCGUCACCCUCCUCACAAGCAAACUUUCCCCCUUCAAUCAAAACCACAACUCGCUAAAGAUGAGGUAAGUCGUAACAAGGUAAGUGUACCGGAAGGUGCACUUAGCACACC
rnacentral:ncRNA from 1 species